CCGUUUCAAUCUGCACUUUAAGGAGUAAACAAGCAAAAACACUUUUAUUUAAUUUGCACUUAAGAGAGAAAACAAGCAGAACUGAAGAGAAAACAGAGCCUGCCUGGAGAGCUCCCUGAACAAAUAAAGACAAAGAAACACAGGCAGACGGGGCUCAGGAAGCCAUCUGAGCAGCAGGAAGCAGAAGCUUAUCUUUCUUUUCAGGACUCCUGGACUACCUUCUCAGGAGUGAUAUUGAUCAUAGUCUCUUAGGCUCUCUGACAUCAUUCAAGACAAUUCCCCACAGACAUGGCCAUAGGUUGGUCUGAUCUGAACAGUUCUUCAACUGAAAUUUCCUCUUCCAGGCUUCUGUCAGGUGUGGUUCCAAUGGAUGGCCUUUUUAUGACCUUUAUACCAAGUUGGAGGAUGAACUACAAGAGAAAAAGACUGUCUAUGACCCCCUCCUCAUGGAUUAUGAAGGAAGCAAUAUCAUAUCAGCCAGCAAUUCCAAUACAAAUUUGAUACAGAAGUGAACCCCAGGAGAGUGCUCCAAGCUUCAGCUUGUCUGAGAACUAAGGACUGAGCCUAGGGCUUUUGACAUGCUCCCAAAGCACUCUACCAGGACUUAUCUCCCAAGUCUAAAUUCUUCUUUAAACAUGAUAGAAUGCCAGCGCUGGAUUAGAAACAAAAGUGAAAUGAAAAAUUAAUGGUGUUGUACACAGGAUGUGGUAUAGACGGUUUGAUGGGAAAGCAGCAAGUGGAUGUUGGAAUCCAAGCUUCUACACUGUACUAUGGAGGUCUCUUGUACCUCUGAUGAUGAGGGCAGGUGUGGCAUGGGAUGCUUUCACACAGAGGGUGGAGCCCCAUCAGCAAGUGUUAUGCCAAUUCAUGAAUUUUCCCUAGGAGUUAUUUUAUGUAAAGCAUUUACUAUUAUGAUAUGUGUACCUGUA